AAAGUCGUAACAAGGUUUCCGUAGGUGAACCUGCGGAAGGAUCAUUAUCAGCGAGGGGCCUGCGCCUUACGGCCGGGCACCGCAACCCUGUCGUCGAAAAUCUCGUUGCUUUAGCGGGCCGUCCCUACGGCCGCCGGCCUCCGCCCCGGCGUGCGCCUGCUAGAGACCCCUGAACCCUCUGUGAUAGCGCCGUCUGAGCCCAGCCGAAUAGCCUAAAACUUUCAACAACGGAUCUCUUGGCUCUG
rnacentral:misc_RNA from 1 species